rnacentral:rRNA from 1 species
AUGUCCACCGGAGGGUUUUCGCUAAAUCCGUGCACCAAGGUGGAGGACGCGGUCUCCUGCGAGAAGGUUCAGCCCGCCACCAAAAGGAAGGCCCGGGCCGCCCGUCGUGGCCAUCCGAGCAAGGGCUGCAGUUCCGAGGGAGAUGGGGCUGCCGAGAAGAUGCAGGCGGUCGCCGGCUUCUCUGAGGAGCACAAGAUCUCGAAGCAGAAGCAGGAGCAUGAGGAAUUGGCCUGUGAUAUCAUCAAUAAGAAGGAUGACGGUGAGCUCCUCUCUGCCGAAGAAUUUGACGCGUUCAUAGCUAUGAUGGAAGAGAAACACGAGAGGCUUUGGGCAGAGUACACGCCUGAUGGCGUACAAGUGAUGGAGUACAAAAGAUUACUCCUCAUAUCCCAAGGAUAA